rnacentral:rRNA from 1 species
AGUAACGCGUGGAUAACCUGCCUUACACUGGGGGAUAACACUUAGAAAUAGGUGCUAAUACCGCAUAAGCGCACAGAGCCGCAUGGCUCAGUGUGAAAACUUCGGUGGUGUAAGAUGGAUCCGCGUCUGAUUAGCUGGUUGGCGGGGUAGAAGCCCACCAAGGCGACGAUCAGUAGCCGGCCUGAGAGGGUGAACGGCCACAUUGGGACUGAGACACGGCCCAAACUCCUACGGGAGGCAGCAG